rnacentral:misc_RNA from 1 species
CGCACAUUGCGCCCUUUGGUAUUCCGAGGGGCACGCCUGUUCGAGCGUCAUUUAAACCAUCAAGCCCAGCUUGGUCUUGGACGUGGUCGACUGACCUGUCUGUAACCCGUCGGCGGUGCGGUCCGGCCCCAAGCGUAGCAAGUUUUCCGCUUAGGGAGCCCGUGGCCGCGCCUGUCGGAUAAUGGCCACCUUUUAAAGUUUGACCUCGGAUCAGGUGGGGAUACCCGCUGAACUUAA